AUUGAACGUUGGCGGCAGGCCUAACACAUGCAAGUCGAGCGGAAACGAUCCUAGCUUGCUAGGAGGCGUCGAGCGGCGGACGGGUGAGUAACGCGUGAGAAUCUACCCAUGAGUGGGGGACAACCCGGGGAAACUCGGGCUAAUACCGCAUACGCCCUACGGGGUAAAGCAGGGGACCUUCGGGCCUUGCGCUGAUGGAUGAGCUCGCGUCGGAUUAGCUUGUUGGUGAGGUAAAGGCUCACCAAGGCGACGAUCCGUAGCUGGUCUGAGAGGAUGAUCAGCCACACCGGGACUGAGACACGGCCCGGACUCCUACGGGAGGCAGCAGUGGGGAAUCUUGGACAAUGGGGGCAACCCUGAUCCAGCCAUGCCGCGUGUGUGAAGAAGGCCUUCGGGUUGUAAAGCACUUUCAGCAGGGAGGAAGGCUUACCCCUAAUACGGGUGAGUACUUGACGUUACCUGCAGAAGAAGCACCGGCUAAUUUCGUG
rnacentral:rRNA from 1 species